GUGGGUAUAGCUCAGUGGUAAAGAAUAUGCUUAGCAUGCAAGAGGUCUUGGGUUAAAUCCCCAGUACCUUCA
rnacentral:tRNA from 1 species